GCGAACCCCGUGGGAGAGAUCUCGCCAAACUUAGGCGGGGCCCCGAAGGAGCAACCGCCCCGGAAACUCUCAGGGAACCGGACCGCGGGGGGAUG
rnacentral:ncRNA from 2 species